rnacentral:misc_RNA from 1 species
GAUGAAGAACGUAGCGAAAUGCGAUACGUAAUGUGAAUUGCAGAAUUCAGUGAAUCAUCGAGUCUUUGAACGCACAUUGCGCCCCCUGGUAUUCCGGGGGGCAUGCCUGUCCGAGCGUCAUUGCUGCCCUCAAGCCCGGCUUGUGUGUUGGGUCUCGUCCCCCUUCCCGGGGGGACGGGCCCGAAAGGCAGCGGCGGCACCGCGUCCGGUCCUCGAGCGUAUGGGGCUUUGUCACCCGCUCUGUAGGCCCGGCCGGCGCUUGCCGAUCAACCAAAACUUUUUUCCAGGUUGACCUCGGAUCAGGUAGGGAUACCCGCUGAACUUAAGCAUAUAAUAAGCGGAGGA